UGGGGAAUUUUGGACAAUGGGGGAAACCCUGAUCCAGCCAUCCCGCGUGUGCGAUGAAGGCCUUCGGGUUGUAAAGCACUUUUGGCAGGAAAGAAACGUCAUGGGUUAAUACCCCGUGAAACUGACGGUACCUGCAGAAUAAGCACCGGCUAACUACGUGCCAGCAGCCGCGGUAAUACGUAGGGUGCAAGCGUUAAUCGGAAUUACUGGGCGUAAAGCGUGCGCAGGCGGUUCGGAAAGAAAGAUGUGAAAUCCCAGAGCUUAACUUUGGAACUGCGUUUUAACUACCGGGCUAGAGUGUGUCAGAGGGAGGUGGAAUUCCGUGUGUAGCAGUGAAAUGCGUAGAUAUGCGGAGGAACACCGAUGGCGAAGGCAGCCUCCUGGGAUAACACUGACGCUCAUGCACGAAAGCGUGGGGAGCAAACAGGAUUAGAUACCCCCGUAGUCCCCUGAGCGGGCUGGCAAGGCGCAU
rnacentral:rRNA from 1 species